rnacentral:rRNA from 3 species
UGGAAGUAAAAGUCGUAACAAGGUCUCCGUAGGUGAACCUGCGGAGGGAUCAUUACACAAAUAUGAAGGCGGGCUGGAACCUCUCGGGGUUACAGCCUUGCUGAAUUAUUCACCCUUGUCUUUUGCGUACUUCUUGUUUCCUUGGUGGGUUCGCCCACCACUAGGACAAACAUAAACCUUUUGUAAUUGCAAUCAGCGUCAGUAACAAAUUAAUAAUUACAACUUUCAACAACGGAUCUCUUGGUUCUGGCAUCGAUGAAGAACGCAGCGAAAUGCGAUAAGUAGUGUGAAUUGCAGAAUUCAGUGAAUCAUCGAAUCUUUGAACGCACAUUGCGCCCUUUGGUAUUCCAAAGGGCAUGCCUGUUCGAGCGUCAUUUGUACCCUCAAGCUUUGCUUGGUGUUGGGCGUCUUGUCUCUAGCUUUGCUGGAGACUCGCCUUAAAGUAAUUGGCAGCCGGCCUACUGGUUUCGGAGCGCAGCACAAGUCGCACUCUCUAUCAGCAAAGGUCUAGCAUCCAUUAAGCCUUUUUUUCAACUUUUGACCUCGGAUCAGGUAGGGAUACCCGCUGAACUUAAGCAUAUCAAUAAGCGGAGGA